rnacentral:rRNA from 1 species
AAGACUCUCGGCAACGGAUAUCUAGGCCCUCGCAUCGAUGAAGAACGUAGCAAAAUGCGAUACUUGGUGUGAAUUGCAGAAUCCCGUGAACCAUCGAGUCUUUGAACGCAAGUUGCGCCCGGAGCCUUUGGGCSGAGGGCACGCCUGCCUGGGC